AUAGUCGCCAUUUGUAUAACUUGACAACUGUUUGUUAAUUUGAGCAGUUGGUUUAGCAAAUCUUUUUGACGAAUACAUUAUAGUUUUAUUGAUGUUUCGUUAGAAAAUUAACCUGCAACAAUGGGUCGGACGUACAAGAGUGAACCCACUUCAAACAUACAUGCACUGAUUGACUAUGACUGAGUGACACGUGCAGUUUUGGCAGUAAAGGAAGGUAUGUCAGUAAGGGCAGCUGCUAAGGCUCAUGGUUUAUCAAAGUCUGCCCUUCAACGGUACUGUGCAAAGCCAUAUCUACAGAUUCGAACAAAAGGUGGCCAGACCUUAAGGUAUGGAAAAAGAUAUUGUCGAAGCAAUUGUAAAAUGUUCGGAUUAGGGGUAUCCACUAAGUUCUUUUGAUACCCGUUGCUUUGUAAAGUUUCAUUUGGAUUGAGAGGGGAAGAAUAUUCCAAAAUUUAGAGACAACCUUUCAGGUUGUGAUUGGGCUCUAGGCUUUUUGAAAAGGAACAAAGAGGUACUCCCACAAAGAAUGUGCCAAAAUAUCAAAAGAAGCCGAGCAAGUGUGAGCCCUGGUGUUAUAAAUCACAAUUACACUGAAAGACAUUCCAGCUCAUCUCAUAAUAGAUUACGGCGAAACAUGCUUGUCAGAUGAUCCAGGUCGCCGAAAGCUUAUCUUCAGGAGGGGAUGCAGAUAUCCAGUAAGAGUUUUAGAUGAGAGAAAAUCUGGGGUCAGUACUGUUUGCUGCAACUGCAUCAGGAAAGAUUCUUCCCCCCUAUAUAAUUUACAAGUCUUAUUUACAUAUAUGACCUCUGGAUACAAGGGGGUCUGGAAGGGGCACAGUACAAUAGGAGCAAGUCUGGCUGGAUAGAUGGCCAUUGCUUCCUCGAUUGGAUACAAAAGAUUGUUGUCCCAUAUUGCAGAAGAUUCGAUGGAAGAAAGGUCCUAAUUGUGGAUAACUUGAGCUCACAUUUGUCGCCAGCUGUAGUCAAUAUAUGUGUUGAAAAUGACAUCUCAUUUGUUUUUUUACCACCCAACUCAACCCAUCUAACAGCCACUAGAUGUUGCUGUUUUCAGGUCGCUGCACUGGAGGUUGGUUUUGGAAAAAUGGAAGCUCAAAACCAAGAACAGCAGCAAGUCAUUUGACAAACAGUAUUUUCCUUGUCUUUUAAAACAGACAUUGGAAAAAAAUGAAAGUAAAUGACCAACUUAGCAAGGACAUAUCUUCAUGUUUUGAAAAAGCGGGCUUGUUCCCAUUGAAAAGAGAAUGGGUCCUUGAAGGACUUCCUGCAUUUCAACCAAACGAAGGACAGGAGAAUGAAAAAACAGUGACCGACAACCUCUCACAGUUUUUAAAGGAGAUGCGCUAUGGUAAUGAAGAACCUGAAGCAAACAAGCAAGAAAAAGUGUCUGAGAGUUCCACCAGGUCAGAGUGUUUCUCUUGCUGACUUGGAAUAAGAGGAUAGUGAUGUGGAAUUUGAUGAUGACAAUAAUGAAGAAAAUGAGGAAGUUGUUCAAAUCAAAGAAGGGGACUGGGUGAGGGUAAAAUUUCAGUAUGAACAUGGUGUUGAAAAGUUUUUUUUUGGGAAGGUUUUGCAAGUGUGACCAGUGGAAGAGGGAGCAGACAAGUUUCUUGGAUCAUUUCUAAGGCAAUCUAACAAGAUGGCUUCAAUUUACACAUUCCCCAAUGUCGCAGAUGAAUAUGUGUUCAGCAAAAAACAGAUUUUGCAAGUGUUAAACCCACCUGAAAUUAGGAGGGGUAGGCAUACCUUCAAGUAAACCAGCAAACAAACCUAGUGGUUCCACAUACUAUUUGUGGUAGGGCCUACCGGUAAAUUCAGUGUAUUUCUUAAUGUAGGUAACAUUAUAUUCUGGAUCUAGACUAUCUUCCGAGACUAUGCAUAACAGCAUCAUGGAGCUUAUAAGUAUGAACUUGUUUUUUUGUGCAAUUUUUAAAAUUCAUUUUUAAGAUGCCUUUUUGUAAAUAUUAUAUAGACAAAUUUCGAAUAAAACUACUAAUGGAAGUGAUUUAACCUUUUUAAAAACAUUUUACAUGCAUUUAAAAAGCCAAGCAUAUGUCCCUAUUAACCAUACUAUGAUUAAAAAGGGACACAUAUUGAAAAACCUCAGGUGUCCCUAUAACUCCACCUCUAGGGUGAAUAGGGACAGGCAAAAAAAAAAUAAUUUAUGUAAAACAUUAACAGAAAAUACAAAAAUGUAUUAUGCUAUAGAAAGCUAAUAAAAAGAACUACAAAAUAAAAAUAUAAUCAUAGAACAUUCUUCAGUGAUUUAGAAAUUUUUUAACAAAACUAAAAAAAUUGUCCCUAUUCACCCCAUUUUUCGGUACCACAACAAAAAAAACUUUAUACAUAGUAAUAUUUAAUGUAUUAUUUAACAGUCCAUCAUCUUAUACAUUGUAAAAUAAAUACGAAUUAUCUCGUAGGAUCACAAUACAUAUACCUAAAUCCAUUUUUGCAUGCCUACCCAUAUGUUUUCUGAAGUUUGAUGCAAAUAAAAGUGGAUGUGUCCACUAUUUUAAAAUAUGUGUGAUGAAAAUUUCUGAAUAGCAAUGGUUAAGACUUGAACACUAUUAUAUGCAAGUUAUUUAUACUUGCAUAUCCACAAAACGUCUACAGGGAAUGCUUGGAAGGCCUGUCAGUCCACAUGAAUUGCUGUCCAAAUGACUGGUCACAGCAUGGCGGCUGUCCCACCAUGGUUGCUGUCACAGCGUGGCAGCUGUAAAUUUUAAAGGCCGUUUUCUAUAAUAUAUAUUUUGAUUUUUGUAAAAAAUUGUGAUCAAUAUUAAGUAUUCAUGGGUUAAUUACUGGGCCUGUUAUUUAAGUGGUUAGCCACAAUUUAAGGUGUGUGAAUGUGACGUGUUAAUAAACAGUGGGCCUGAAGUUGUAUUUGUAUUAUAAUGAGCUUUACUCGAGUGGUUAUUGUACAGUGAUUAAUUCUGUGUUUAAUAAUUUGAUCUCCCGAAAUAUUUGUACAUUUGGCAGCAGAUUGAUCCUAUACAAUUAAGGCUAUAGGUAUUUUAUGAAACUACCAUCAGUUGAUUUAUUCUGCCUCUUAUGUUGCAGUAACUAGCAUAAAUUUUGUUAAACAGAUUCACCUUGAACUGUACCAUACCCAAGCAAGACCAUUACAAUUUUGAAUGUACUGUUUAUAAUGUGUGUUUCGGCAUUAUUAUUAUGAAUAAAUUUGUUUUAGCUCAAUGCA